GCCGAAAUAGCUCAGUUGGGAGAGCGUUAGACUGAAGAUCUAAAGGCCCCGGGUUUCGGCA
rfam:Camelus ferus unplaced genomic scaffold scaffold1664, whole genome shotgun sequence.